CCACGUGACGCGCUCUCCACCGACAGGAAAAGCGAAACUGUCUGAGGUAUUUAUGAAUGCCAGAUUAAUACCAACAACUCGUGGACAUGACAAGGUAUUGCACCAGCACUGGAUCCUGAUGGAUUGACAAUAUGUUUCAAGCUGUGUGUGGAAAGUGCCGAAAGAGACACUACGUAACCAUCAGAAAUACAGAAGGACCAUCAUGCAGCGGCAGUGCAAGUGUGUUUUAAAUGGCGGACUGCGAAACAAAUUGCAAGUUUUUUUAGUAGGCUUGCAGCUGCUCAGAAAAGGCAUCAAGCAGGUCAAGGUCACCAUGAUGUGGACGUAGAUGCAAGUGAAGAAGACUUUCGUACUUGGGAAAGUUCAGAAAAUGAAGAAAGACUUCGCAAAUCAGUUUAUGCUGAAAUAGACAUUUCCCAUCCAAUCAUAUUUGGUGAUAUCAAUGUUUGUACUCUAAUUACACAGGGCAAAGGUAAAUCAAAACGCAUAAGUGAAUUGAAAGAUUUGUGUGAACACUUUGGAUUGAAAGUUGAAGGACCUGAAACGCGCAAAGAAAGUUUCAUCAAAGUACUGAACAGCCAUGUUGGUCAAUGUACCAGCAAAGGUGGCUCCGAAGACGAGACAUAAUCAUCAUAUUAUGCCUUUCACAAUGUAACUAAAUAUAUGUAAAAAAUUAAAAAGUGCACUUAUGUUAUCAUUUUUAACACUGGUUAUCAUUAUGACUAUUAGCAAGGUCCAAAAUACAAAAGGCUUGUAAUUAAUAGAGUACAGUGUAUUAUCAAAAAUAAUUGUUUUAUAUUUUGUUUGCAAGGUAAAUCAUGAAUCAGAAACAUAAAAAAGGUAUAACAGGUCAAACUGAUUUACAUACGUAUGUCCCAAAAGUGUUAUAGAUCACGCUAUUACAACUGCUAUUACAACUGCAACUGUUUCUGAUAGCGCCAAUAUACCAUUGCAUGCAUUCACUGACUUGUGAAUGUGAUAGGAGAAUAGGUUCUCCCUUAAGUAAAAACAAAAAAGAACACUAAUAAUUUAUAAAUGUCACGUGCAUUUGUCAUUACUAUAAUUUGUUGACUUAAAAAAUGGCCCUGAACGUUUUUCUUGAACAUGCAAUUAAAUUGCUAUAAAACAAUUAUUUUGUUGAUGCUGUACUCGGUGGCCCAAUCUUUAGCUAAUAUUAUUUGUUAAAUAAAGAUUGUUUUUCUCAUGAUAAAGUCUACCGCCCACAGCCUCGCUUUGACCCUUAAAGUAUGACGUCAGCAUAAAUAUUAAGGAGGGCGUAUUGUGCACAAUUAGAUAAACCACGUGGUUGGGAUGGUUUUAAAAAAAAACUUUCAAGGAAUGGAAUGUUCCAAAUUCAUUAAAAGUUAUUUUUCUGUAAACAGUAAAAGAACAAUGAUGCUUUGUAUCUAUUUAGUUAUUGGAACUCAAAAGUGUCAAUAAAAAGGAAGCGGUAAUUCAAUUAAACUGGAAAACACGAUUUUUUGCUUACAAAUAUAGGUAAAUAUGACCCAUGUACAAAAUUCCCUACAUGUACCUCAACAAUUUUGAAAAAACCCAAAUGUUCAACUUGAUAUCCUUCAAGUACACAACAUAACCUCUUACAAAUGUGAGUUUCAAUGUUGAACUAGCCUGAAUAAAGAAAGUACAUUGAAUUCAAAUUUCAGUAAUUUCGGAAGUUUUGAGUAAUUUAACAAAACACCAUUUUUAUGCCAUUUUAAAAAUUCACUAGCAAAAUUUCUAAACCAAACAAGCAAAUUUAAGAAAUGCAAUGUUAUUAUAGAACACUACAGACAUGACCCAAAAAUUUUAAAAAUCGGUUGAGUUUAAAGCACUUUUCUGUAAAGAUAGAAUUUAGGGUAAUUUCAGUAAAAAACACUAUUUUCUUUGCAUUGGAGGUGUCCAAAUUCAGGGGGGUCUGACCUAAGCUAACAGAGGGGUGCCAUUAAUUUUUUAACAUUGCCAAUGGGGAACCAUUCACCCCCCUUGAUGAUCCCCAAAAUACAAUUGAAAUUCGCCGACCUUAAUCUUUCAACUUUUUUAACAGCCUGCAUGAACCUUAAAAAAUCUGACACUUGAGACCUCAGAUUUA